rnacentral:rRNA from 1 species
GUUCCCAUUCCGCACACGGAAGUUAAGCCUCUCAGCGCCGAUGGUACUGCCAGGGAAGCUUGGUGGGAGAGUAGGUCGCCGCCGAUU